rnacentral:misc_RNA from 1 species
GCAAACUUGGUCAUUUAGAGGAAGUAAAAGUCGUAACAAGGUUUCCGUAGGUGAACCUGCGGAAGGAUCAUUACUGAAUUCAUGACAAGGUUGUAGCUGGCCCCAUCCGGGCAUGUGCACGCCUUGCUCAUUCCAAUUCUACACACCUCUGUGCACUUCACAUGGGUUGGUUGCGGCUCGUCUUUCGGGAUGGGCUUGACCGCCUGUGGUUUUCUACAAACUUAUAUAGUAAUAGAAUGUAAUCCGCGUAUAAUAACGCAUCUUAUACAACUUUCAGCAACGGAUCUCUUGGCUCUCGCAUCGAUGAAGAACGCAGC